rnacentral:rRNA from 1 species
GAUGAACGCUGGCGGCGUGCCUAAUACAUGCAAGUCGAGCGAACGGACGAGAAGCUUGCUUCUCUGAUGUUAGCGGCGGACGGGUGAGUAACACGUGGAUAACCUACCUAUAAGACUGGGAUAACUUCGGGAAACCGGAGCUAAUACCGGAUAAUAUUUUGAACCGCAUGGUUCAAAAGUGAAAGACGGUCUUGCUGUCACUUAUAGAUGGAUCCGCGCUGCAUUAGCUAGUUGGUAAGGUAACGGCUUACCAAGGCAACGAUGCAUAGCCGACCUGAGAGGUGGAUAGGCAACAUGGGACUUGGGACACGGUCCGGACUCCAACGGGAGGCACCAGGGGGGAAUCUUCCGCAAUGGGCGAAGGCCUGACGAGGCAACGCGGGGGGAGUGAUGAAGGUCUUCGGAUCGUAAAACUCUGUUAUUGGAGAAGAACAUAUGUGUAAGUAACUGUGCACAUCUGAAGGGAACCAAAGAAGAAGGCCACGCCUAACUACUU